rnacentral:misc_RNA from 1 species
GAAAUCUUCAAAGUAAAUCUUUUGUUACUCAAUUGGUUUCUACUUUGGUAUUGGAGGCCAUUGCAGCUUCACACCUGCUCCUCUUUGUUCAUUAGCUGGAUCUCAGUGUUAUGCUUGGUUCCACUCAGCGUGAUAAGUUAUCUAUCGCUGAGGACACUGUAAAAGGUGGCCAAGGUAAAUGCAGAUGAACCGCUUCUAAUAGUCCAUUGACUUGGACAAUAAAUUAAUUUUUAUGAUCUGAUCUCAAAUCAGGUAGGACUACCCGCUGAACUUAA